AUGUUCCCAAUGAGGGUAAUCGUGGAAACAGUUCGCUCUCAACAUUGCUUGACAUGCUCAAACGAAGGACACAUGAUCACAGACACUUAUGCAAUUGUCGCAGGGACCACUACAUUAAAUCAACUCGUCGAAACUGUACUAGCAGCUCUUGGACAUUCGAGCAUGUCGACAAGUGCUCGAGGCCUCAUACAAGUAAACAACUGGAAACCCUUGCCAUUCGAUCAAAUUACUGAAAAUUUAGAUGACACUGUGGAAAACCUCUUCAAAGAUAUAUCAUCACAUGUAGUGCUAAAAAUAUUGUCAAAACCGUAAGUGUUUCCUGAAGUAUUCUUGUUUCACUCCGCACUAUAACCUCAUCUAUCCCAUCCAAUCCCGCUCCAACCAGACGACUGUCGAUCGGGAGGUUUGUGUGCUCCGGGGGGCUCAUUCUGUAAAGGUGAGCAAAAUCGCGCCUCACAACCCCUAUACAUCCUCUUUAGAACUACUCAAAGAAAAUGGCAAACAUAGGUAUGUACAAUGCGCGCCUCGCACACACACACAUAUAUAUAAACACAUUCAGACAUGUGUACAGGAGAGAAAAAGUGAUGGAAGGAAAAAAGGGGGAAAACUCAUUGAAAUUGGCGGUGGCUGAAAAAAGAUACAUUUUGGGGCGCAUUUCUAGUCAUCAAAAGUCAAAGGAGCGGGAGGGUCCGGGGACCAACAAAAUUAUUUACCUAGAUCCCCGUAUGACUUAUCCUAUCUGUUUGCGGAUUAUUGUCGCUUCCUUCAUUUCUUUAUAUCGUUCAUAUUCUAUUGAUAUUUGGCAUUUAGUUUGCUAUCAAACAUGGCACUCACAAAUACCGCAAAAGCUUUAGCGCUUUGUCCUGCGACGCAAUUUUUAUGAGACCAAUGAAAGCACAAACCAUUCACGGACCGAAUUCGAUUUUUAUAGCCCUAUCCCUGGGCACACAUAUGCCUAUACACACACACAAUUUUAUGACCAUCAUCAUGAUUUUCUUUCAGAUCUACGGAUUCAAAUUCUGUGCAAUGUAUAAGUGAGGUGAAGAAUAAACUCCUGAAAGCUGCAGUAAACAAAAAUCCCAAUGUUUUAACAAAUGUGGAUAAUCAGCAGGUUAAGGAUGUCAUCAACACAAUCAUUGCCGGAGAUGAAACACUCUUGAAUUCCGAACAAAUUGGUGCAGUCAACGAAUGGCUUGAUACGCUGGAAACGAACGAGGAUCGUAGAAGCCCAACACAAGUACAAAGAUUCAACACUCUUUACGAAAUUCCACGUCUUGAUAAAUGGUUCAAAUCCGAUGCAAAUCCAUCUAAACAAAAAAUGAACAAUUACUUAAGCCAGCUCAAUCAGAGUCCGUUCAGAAAGAACAAUUCCAAGAUCAGCUAUCAACAGAUUUGCAAUUGGUUCACACAAAAACGCUCGAGUUCCCGUACCUUAGCUCCAGUAGACCUAGUGCAGGUCUCGUCAGCUCAGACAGCGGCGCAGCUGCUCCCGGGAUUCCAACUCAACUUGCUCCAGUCCCUGUUUGGAGAACAACGUCAAAAAUUUGAUUUUUACGACAAACUGGAUGAAACCAAGAUUGUCGGCGGCUCCGACUCGCCAUCUCCAGCCGAUGAUGAGAUUCAUAGCAAUUCAGAUGAAACUAUUCAAGAUACUUUGUUUUCCAUCAAUAUUAAACCAGAACCGGAAAUUGAUUCAAUUGCAUCCUCCCCGGAUAUGGCAAACUCAAUGCGCGAAUCAUUGUCCUCGACCUCCCCAAAGCUUCUCAGCGGGCUCGACCUCGGAGCAUUCAGCACCCACUCAUCAUCCACCAACUCCAUGCAAAACGCCAACUCAUCAGUGUUUUCAGCGGCUCGCUCACGCCUGAUGUUCGACCCACUCACCGAGCUACCCGUCCUCGAAAAAUGGUUCGAAGAGAAUCCUCACCCGACAUGGAUGCAAAUCGAUCAGUACACACAAUGCUUGAACAACUGCGCUUAUCGAGAGAAUUAUCCGCAUAUUAGUCAGCACAAUGUGAAGAUCUGGUUCAAAAAUCGACGUGCAAAAUGCAAGCGAUUGUUGAAUGGAAUGCAGGAAAAGCUUGAGCAGAAGGUUUUCGUAUAA
rnacentral:misc_RNA from 1 species